rnacentral:misc_RNA from 1 species
GGAAUAAAAGUCGUAACAAGGUUUCCGUAGGUGAACCUGCGGAAGGAUUAUUAUUGUAUAACCGAGGUGCGAGGGCUGUCGCUGACCCGAAAGGUCGUGCACGCCCGAGUGCCCUCACACACAUCCAUCUCACCCCUAUGUGCACCACCGCGUGGGUCCCCCUUUGGCUUGUUCGGAGGGGGGCUUACGUUUUCACACAAACUUUGUAUGCAGUGUAGAAUGUAUUUUUUGUUUUUGCGAUCACGCAAUCAAUACAACUUUCAACAACGGAUCUCUUGGCUCUC